UACGUAGGGUGCAAGCGUUGUCCGGAUUCAUUGGGCGUAAAGAGCGUGUAGGCGGCCAGGUAGGUCGGUUGUGAAAACUGGAGGCUCAACCUUCAGAGGUCGACCGAAACCAUCUGGCUAGAGUCCGGGAGAGGAGAGUGGAAUUCCUGGUGUAGCGGUGAAAUGCGCAGAUAUCAGGAAGAACACCCGUGGCGAAAGCGGCUCUCUGGAACGGUACUGACGCUGAGACGCGAGAGCGUGGGGGAGCGAACAGG
rnacentral:rRNA from 1 species